UUUUCACCUUCUGUACUCAAAUUACAUCCAUGCUUAAUAUGUAUUCAUUCUAAUUCAGGAUUUUUAUUUAGCUAAUAGCUAUUCAAGUUAGUGAUGGAUGGACUUUCUUUUGUGAAAUUUUUGUUGUAGAAGCAUUGUUGUUUCAUAGAGAAAAACUUGCCUUUGCUUUCUUUUUUAUUCCCCAUCUUAAAUCUUGUGUGGUUGAAGAAAUUCUUUUGUCCAUUCUAUAAUCUUUUUCAGAUUAAUUUAUUUAAUGACUUGUGAUUAAGGUAAAUAGGUUAUUCUUAAUCUUAUUAAACUUUCUAGUUGACUUAAGGGCUUGUGAGUGAAGGUUCUGAUUGUAAAGAGCCUUCAACUGGUACAUAGAUGUGAUUGCUUGAUUUCAUCGCCCUUAGGAUAAUCAAGAAUUUUACCUUCGAUACGAAAACGUUUUAAGAGUGUAAAAUCUAAGGCAGUUGGAGUUUACAUGGUGGCACAUGCUUGUUUAGAACUAUCAAGAAUUCUCAUAAUAUAAUGCUUAUACUUCUAUAUGUUCUGUUGUAUUCCAGGUUUUGAGUAAGCUGACGAUUUCACACAUUACACAUUUGGUUGACUUGAUCUACCAUGGAGGGGAUGAUAGUCUAAUUUCUUAGACAUUUUUUAGUUGGGGGACAAAGUAUGCGUGUAUACACGGCAAAAUUAAUAAAUAAUUAGUUAAUAAAUUAAUUAUUAUUCAAA